GUUCAGCUGACUCUUGGGUGGGGUGAGCUGGGGAAGAGGGGAAGACAAGGAGCAAUUGCAGGAUUGGGAGCAGCAAGUACUCAGGCAAGGAGGUGAGAAAGAGCCCUGCAUCCCCAGGAAACCACAAAUAUGACUAGAGGACAUUUGUUGACUACUGUAGACAGCAUGGAAAAGUUCAACAUCAUAGAAUCUAAAGACCUGUGUGGACCUGGCCAAGCUGACCAAGUCCAGAGAAAAUGUCCCUUGAAGUAGGUAUAUUUUGAUGGCCACACCAUUGAAACAUAAGUUACUCUGAUGACAGAAAGAAGAUACCACUCAUCUUUAUGAUUUCAUCUUGCCUAUGCUAUGGACUGAAUGGUUCAUUUGAUAAUAAGAUGAAGAAUAGAGCUUUGUCAACUAUAAAGCACCAUGAAAAAUUGAGAAUUAAUAUUUCUACCUUAUGCAUAUAUUCAAGAUGA
rnacentral:lncRNA from 1 species